rnacentral:rRNA from 1 species
CCUACGGGGGACAGCAGUGAGGAAUAUUGGUCAAUGGACGAGAGUCUGAACCAGCCAAGUAGCGUGAAGGAUGACUGCCCUAUGGGUUGUAAACUUCUUUUAUAUGGGAAUAAAAUGUUCCACGUGUGGGAUUUUGUAUGUACCAUAUGAAUAAGGAUCGGCUAACUCCGUGCCAGCAGCCGCGGUAAUACGGAGGAUCCGAGCGUUAUCCGGAUUUAUUGGGUUUAAAGGGAGCGUAGGUGGAUUGUUAAGUCAGUUGUGAAAGUUUGCGGCUCAACCGUAAAAUUGCAGUUGAAACUGGCAGUCUGGAGUACAGUAGAGGUGGGCGGAAUUCGUGGUGUAGCGGUGAAAUGCUUAGAUAUCACGAAGAACUCCGAUUGCGAAGGCAGCUCACUGGACUGCAACUGACACUGAGGCUCGAAAGUGUGGGUAUCAAACAGGAUUAGAUACCCCAGUAGU